rnacentral:rRNA from 1 species
AACGAACGCUGGCGGCAGGCUUAACACAUGCAAGUCGAGCGCCCCGCAAGGGGAGCGGCAGACGGGUGAGUAACGCGUGGGAAUCUACCCAUCUCUACGGAAUAACGCAUGGAAACGUGUGCUAAUACCGUAUACGUCCUUCGGGAGAAAGAUUUAUCGGAGUUGGAUGAGCCCGCGUUGGAUUAGCUGGUUGGUGGGGUAAAGGCCUACCAAGGCGACGAUCCAUAGCUGGUCUGAGAGGAUGAUCAGCCACACUGGGACUGAGACACGGCCCAGACUCCUACGGGAGGCAGCAGUGGGGAAUAUUGGACAAUGGGCGCAAGCCUGAUCCAGCCAUGCCGCGUGAGUGAUGAAGGCCCUAGGGUUGUAAAGCUCUUUCACCGGUGAAGAUAAUGACGGUAACCGGAGAAGAAGCCCCGGCUAACUUCGUGCCAGCCACCGCCGUAAUAC